GCCCUGCUGGCGCAAUGGUAGCGCGUCAGACUUCUAUCUUGAUAUCUGAAGGUUGCGGGUUCGAGCCCCGCGUGGGGUU